UCAUUACUUCUUAAAUAUAUAUCAUUUCUCCCUCUCCCUCUUCCUCUUCCAUUUUCUUCUUCCUCUCAUUCUUUCUCUUCCCUCUUCUUCGUCGUUGACGAACCCGACCCCGCACCGCCGCCGUCGUCCGCUCCGGCGGCCCAAAGAGGAAGAGAAAGAGAAGGGAAAAAACGGUAUUUUGGAGGGAUAUAUUUGUGAGGGCAAAAUGGUCAUUUCACAAAAAAACUAUUAAAAAAUAAACAAUUCUCUAACGGAUGUUAACCAGAGGGAUAUAUCUGCACAAAUUAGGAUUUUUGCAGGGACAAUUUAUGGAGUUUCCGUUUUGCAGAAAUAUUUUCGUAAUUCACUAUAUUUGCAGGAACGUGUAUACAAAUAAUCCUAGAAAGAUUGUGAAGAGAUUGUGACGUGCGAAAAGAAAAAAAUAUAGUAGAUGUUAAAGAAGGUAAUGCAAACGAUCGGGCCUGCAAUAAAU
rnacentral:lncRNA from 1 species